rnacentral:rRNA from 1 species
UACGGGGGGGGCAAGCGUUGUUCGGAAUUACUGGGCGUAAAGGGCUCGUAGGCGGCCAACUAAGUCAGACGUGAAAUCCCUCGGCUUAACCGGGGAACUGCGUCUGAUACUGGAUGGCUCGAGUUUGGGAGAGGGAUGCGGAAUUCCAGGUGUAGCGGUGAAAUGCGUAGAGAUCCGGAAGAACACCGGUGGCGAAGGCGGUCUGCUGGGGUAAUGCUGACACUGAUGCGCGACAGCGUGGGGAGCAAACAGG